rnacentral:sRNA from 1 species
GAUGAAAUACACCAGCGAGGGGGUGCGAUACUUUGUGGACCACAAUACCCGCACCACCACCUUUAAGGAUCCUCGCCCGGGGUUUGAGUCGGGGACGAAGCAAGGUUCCCCUGGUGCUUAUGACCGCAGUUUUCGGUGGAAGUAUCACCAGUUCCGUUUCCUCUGCCAUUCAAAUGCCCUACCUAGCCACGUGAAGAUCAGCGUUUCCAGGCAGACGCUUUUCGAAGAUUCCUUCCAACAGGUUAGAUCAUGGUGCCCGAAACCAGUGGCAGGCCGACGCCCUCCUCCCAGCACCCCAUUUCCAAUCGCGUGGCCUGUUAAACCCACACUGCAGACUUUCCAGGGCAUGGGUCUUGGUGACUGUGUCUGCUGGAUAUUAGGCCUUAGAGUCCCCUGUCCCUCCCGCCCCUGCCUGUUGUGGAAGGGAGAGUGGCAGGCCGGCCCGAUGCUCUGUCUUCCCAGAUCAUGAACAUGAAACCCUAUGACCUGCGCCGCCGGCUCUACAUCAUCAUGCGUGGCGAGGAGGGCCUGGACUAUGGGGGCAUCGCCAGAGAGUGGUUUUU